rnacentral:lncRNA from 1 species
AGUUUAGGCUCCUAGGAGAGUUGAUUCUGGCUGACGUGCUGCGACUGUCAUCUUUCAGAUCAGAGUAACUCUGAGUCUGGUGGGAGUGUCUUCCCCCGACACCCCUUAUACCCCCGCUUUAAGGUGAGAGAAUCUUCUGUCGGUGCUAGCGUUCAGCGGCUAACGGAGACCUCCUGCUUGAAGCCUGAAGUGUUCCAAGCAUGGAGAUGAUGGACGUGGUAUGGGACAAUCAGUGCACCCACAGGAGGGGACGGCGGGAACCAAGAUUGGAAGGAACAUUGCUCUCUGUGACUGAGUCUCCGU